GACGAACGCUGGCGGCGUGCUUAACACAUGCAAGUCGAACGGAAAGGCCCUGCUUUUGUGGGGUGCUCGAGUGGCGAACGGGUGCGUAACACGUGAGUAACCUGCCCUUGACUUUGGGAUAACUUCAGGAAACUGGGGCUAAUACCGGAUAGGAGCUCCUGCUGCAUGGUGGGGGUUGGAAAGUUUCGGCGGUUGGGGAUGGACUCGCGGCCUAUCAGCCUGUCGGUGGGGUAGUGGCUUACCAAGGUUUUGACGGGUAGCCGGCCUGAGAGGGUGACCGGCCACAUUGGGACUGAGAUGCGGGCCGGACUCCUACGGGGGGCAGCGGUGGGGAAUAUUGCACAAUGGGCGGAAGCCUGAUGCAGCAACUCCGCGUGCGAGAUGACGGCCGUCGGGUUGUAAACCGCUUUCGCCUGUGACGAAGCGUGAGUGACGGUAAUGUGUAAAGAAGCACCGGCUAACUACGUG
rnacentral:rRNA from 1 species